AACGAACGCUGGCGGCAGGCUUAACACAUGCAAGUUGAACGGUAUGUAAUUUGUGCUUGCACGGAUUGCAGAGAGUAGCGCACUGGUGAGUAACACGUGGAAACAUACCCUUAAGUAAGGAACAACAGUUGGAAACGACUGCUAAUACCAUAUACGCCCUGAGGGGGAAAGAUUUAUCGCUUAAGGAUUGGUCCGCGGCAGAUUAGGUAGUAGGUGGGGUAAAGGCCUACCUAGCCGACGAUCUGUAGCUGGUUUGAGAGGACGAUCAGCCACAUUGGAACUGAGACACGGUCCAGACUCCUACGGGAGGCAGCAGUGAGGAAUAUUGGGGCAAUGGAGGAAACUCUGACCCAGCCAUGCCGCGUGAGUGAAGAAGGUUUUCGGAUUGUAAAGCUCUUUCGGGAUGGACGAUGAUGACGGUACCAUUAAAGAAGCCCGGCAAACUUCGUG
rnacentral:rRNA from 1 species